AGGAGAGUAAUUAACUCUUUUGGGAAGAGAUGCUUCUUUUUGUUUCUUUCAAGCCCAGCUCCCACUAGAUUUAUUUGAUGAUGCUUGCUCCUGAAUUGGAGGAUAGAAGGAACAAACCAAAAUCUGGUGGCACUGUUUUUGGUCCAGAGAUUUUAAGGAACAUUGUGACCUGAUUCCCAGACCUGCAAAGCUGCUUCUGGCACACCUGGCUGAGGUGAGAGUGAUCCUACCUACAAAAAAGCAAGAUGGAGUCUGGGAGACCAAUACUUAGGUAGGGAAGUCUGCUAACAAGUCUGGGCACUGGGAAGGAAGAAAUGUCUUCUUUGACUCUGUUUUGUGUAAGGGUGACAGGAGGCAAAAAAAAGGUAUAGCUUAAGAAAGAGGCUCUGUUGGGAGAAAAAGAGAGGACUGUUAUGAGCUGGUUAUAAAACAUGGCCACCAAUAAGUGAAAAAGGUAAGAAUUCACAGUGGAGACCUCUGUAUUCAUCUAGUCCAGCCUUCUGUGAGUAUCUUCAGGACAGAGACCCAGAGACCCUCCAGAUACCUCUUUCAGUGCUGAGACUACUCUCAGAAGGAAGAUUUUUUCCCUUUAUGUCUGAUCAAAAUUUUCCUGGGAGCUAUUUUUGUCCCUCAUUCUUUGCUAUGUAUCUCUGAGAACAACUUGGCAUCCUAUUUGCAAUGGCUCUUUACAUAGCAGAAGAUAGCAAAGAGUCCCAAAUGUCCAGACUCUCCUCACAUGCCAGGUGCUCUAGCCCCAAACAUGCCCCCCUCUUGGCUCAUUCCACUUUGUUGGUAUCUUUUCCCAGGGAGCCUCAAACUGGACCAGGCACUCCAGAUACUCUCUCCAAGUGCCAGACAGAGGGGACGGGUGGCUGAAGACAGCACGCUUUCCCUGGGCUUGCAAAUACCAUCUUCACACUUCCAGGAGCUUUCCAUCAUGAUUAUUGCAGCCUUCUGCUUUUAAUCACAUCAUGCUGUUCCCUCACUAGAGGAGGUGGAGGCAGGAGGGGACUGUGUUGCCAAGAAGGAAGAGCAAUGGACACUGAAGUUUGGAGGUA
rnacentral:lncRNA from 1 species